rnacentral:rRNA from 1 species
GACGAACGCUGGCGGCGUGCUUAACACAUGCAAGUCGAACGGAAAGGCCUCUUUCGGGGGGUACUCGAGUGGCGAACGGGUGAGUAACACGUGAGUAACCUGCCCUUGACUUUGGGAUAACUUCAGGAAACUGGGGCUAAUACCGGAUAGGAGCUCCUGCUGCAUGGUGGGGGUUGGAAAGUUUCGGCGGUUGGGGAUGGACUCGCGGCUUAUCAGCUUGUUGGUGGGGUAGUGGCUUACCAAGGCUUUGACGGGUAGCCGGCCUGAGAGGGUGACCGGCCACAUUGGGACUGAGAUACGGCCCAGACUCCUACGGGAGGCAGCAGUGGGGAAUAUUGCACAAUGGGCGGAAGCCUGAUGCAGCAACGCCGCGUGCGGGAUGACGGCCUUCGGGUUGUAAACCGCUUUCGCUCAUGACGAAGCUUUGUGUGACGGUAGUGGGUAAAGAAGCACCGGCUAACUACGUG